rnacentral:rRNA from 1 species
GGGAAUCUUGCACAAUGGAGGAAACUCUGAUGCAGCGACGCCGCGUGAGCGAUGAAGCCCUUCGGGGUGUAAAGCUCUUUCGGCAGGGACGAUAAUGACGGUACCUGAAGAAGAAGCUGCGGCUAACUACGUGCCAGCAGCCGCGGUAAUACGUAGGCAGCGAGCGUUGUUCGGAAUUACUGGGCGUAAAGAGUGUGUAGGCGGUGCUCUAAGUUCGGUGUGAAAUCUCCUGGCUUAACUGGGAGGGUGCGCCGGAAACUGGAGUGCUCGAGCGUGGGAGAGGAAAGCGGAAUUCCUGGUGUAGCGGUGAAAUGCGUAGAUAUCAGGAGGAACACCUGUGGUGUAGACGGCUUUCUGGACCAUAGCUGACGCUGAGACACGAAAGCGUGGGUAGCAAA